rnacentral:lncRNA from 1 species
UUGUUUUGUUGCUGAGUUGCCAUCGUCACUCUGGACCCAUAGCUACUCCAUCCCGAGUAGCCAUGGGCUUACCAUAGAAGGAACAAACUCUUAAUCUUAGAACUGCUUUAGGCAGUGGGCGUGAUGGUUAAAAACUCGGCCUUUGGCGUCGACCUCAGACGGAGAUCUACCAAUUAGGAAAUUAGCUGUGAUUUAGAAAAUUUAAUAUUUCGAUGCCAUACUUUCCUAAUCUGCAAAAUUUUUGUAAAUACCUGUGACCUAGUGUCGUGAGCGCUUAGCAACACCUGACACCCACUAAGCUCUCAGCCAGUGGUUCUGAAAGUGGUUCUAGACCAGCAACAACAGCAGUAGCAGCAGCACCUGUGAACUUGUUAGAAAUGCAAAGUUUCAGGCCCAUUCCAGUUCUACUGAAUCUGAAACUCGAAGGGAACAGCAACCUAUGUUUUAAUAAACCCCAAGGACCUGGGACCUGUACUGUCUGCGGUUACCUUAGUAUUCCCCUUGAAGACUUAAAAAACAACAAAGUUUGGGCUGCAAGAAUGAUCUAUAUCUGGUCAUUUCCCCCUAGGAAAACAUCGUAGGUCAAAAAAUUAAGCAUUUGGGUUUAAAGCAAAAAUGUAAAAGAAAAAGGGUAAGUCUGUGAUAUGAAGUCAAAAAAACUGGUCCUGGUCAUUUUAUUUUUACACAAUAUCAGUUUCUUCAUAUGUAAAUUAGGAAUACUUGUCCCAUCUUUACCAAAUGCUGUUCUGAUAAUCAAGUGAAAAGUACUUUCAAGUAGUCAAAAACAUGAAAAUUGCUACACAAAUCCUGUGUUAUAGCUGAUUUUCACCAUAGAAGCUGAUCACCUUCUUAAAAAUUUAGAAUUACCAGCUGUUGUGCUGGAAGGUCUAGUACCUUUUCGUUCAGGCCCAAAACCCUAAGGUUUAUAUUGUUUUACAGAUUACUGCAAAGCUAUCAAUUUCUUCUGAACCUAAGAAAUGACACACUAUAUCUAUUCCCAGUAAUACAGAAAGCUGUAAGUAGAAUUAUCAGGGCCCAGGCUAUAGAACUUGAACUAUACACUCCCGCUUAACACAAUGGGCUUUUUUUUUUCCUAGUCUCAAGUCAACAUCAAAGCAGCCUAAAAAAAUAAUUUGACCAACUAUCCUGCUGCAUUACAACUAUUAUUCAUCUGCUACGUUUUAAUAUGCAAUAGCAGCAUGCAACAAUACCACCAGCUUUUGGCUAAUGACUUAGCAUGAGAAUAUAGUCAGUUCUUCAGAUUGCUGUUCCUCAGAGAUACUUCCUAGGAAACUUUUUUAAAAAUCACCAUAGCAAAGAGUUGUAGAGAAACUACCUAAGGGUUAACACUUUCACUGCAGUAUGAGUUAGUGAAGAUUGUGGUCAUGUGGUCAUUGGUUUUAACAGAAAAUAAGACAAUCUAGAAUAAAAGCCAUAGAAAGAAAUUUUUCAUGAGUUUGACAGAAAGAGUCUUUAGAAAAAGUUUGAAAAAAAUGAGAAAAAUACAUUAAUUUUGUUAAAUUUUUUUAUAUUAAAAAGUGGCAUGAACUUUUUAUGUAGAACAAAAAUCUUGGGAAGGCAAAAUUGGAUAAAACCAUUAAAACAGAAAUAGAGUGCUUCAAAUGAAUCCCAUCACCUUGUGAUGUCCCUUAUUAACAGUCUCUAAACCAAUACCAGAUACCAGAACAGUCCAUCCUAAAGAACGAGCAGCAGUCCAGGGCCUCCACGCUACUUCAUGCAAUAACUGUUUAAAUUAAGCCAGCAGGACCUGUUUCCUUUGUAUAAGCUACAACUUCUGAAGCAUUACAGUUCCUCUAGCACGGUGCUCAAUCACAGCACUUGGAGCACCUCUCUGCAUAAAGGCAAACAAAACAUUGCCUAAGGACCCUGCAAUGCCACCCUUGGAGGCUUACAAA